CCUACGGGUGGCAGCAGUGGGGAAUAUUGCGCAAUGGGCGAAAGCCUGACGCAGCGACGCCGCGUGAGGGAUGAAGGUCUUCGGAUCGUAAACCUCUGUCAGCAGGGAAGAACGGUCACUGUGCUAAUCAGCAGUGAAUUGACGGUACCUGCAAAGGAAGCACCGGCUAACUCCGUGCCAGCAGCCGCGGUAAUACGGAGGGUGCGAGCGUUAAUCGGAAUUACUGGGCGUAAAGCGCUCGUAGGCGGUAUGUCAAGUCAAGGGUGAAAUCCCCGCGCUGAACGUGGGAACUGCCUUUGAAGACGGCAAACUGGGAUGUGUGAGAGGAUAGGGGAAUUCCAGGUGGAAGAGUGAAA
rnacentral:rRNA from 1 species